UUCUCCAAGAUCUGGAUAUGCCUAGGUCUAAUAGAAGGUCUUUGGAGGAGAUUUUUGCCCACUAAAGAGAAGUAGAGAAAGAGAUCUCUGUCUAAGGCUACUACAACUAACAUGGUUCAAGUGUAUGAUCAGGGGUUGCUUUCUUCAAGGAAUCCUGAUGGAGAGCUGGACUUCAAAUGUCUUCUUCCUUGGGAAUAACAUGAAUAGGGAGCAACAGCAAAACAAAACUUUCACAGCCCUCUACUUGAAGAUGCAAGGAUCAGAUCAAACUUCUAGACCCAGGUUAGAAGGCGUGAUGAAACCCUUGGAAUACCCACAUGUCUGGCUCCUACUGGCCUCUUGACCAUUGUUGCAUUUUGGAAAACUAUGUCCAGGAUGAAUGUAUAGAAACCAAAGGAAGGAAGAAAAGAAGGAAAAAAGGAAAGAAGGAAAGAAGUCACCACAGGUGAAAUCCCUCUUAGCAGCUGGCUUAUGAAAUAAUGUGAAGGGAGGCCUUAAUGAGCAGAAAGCACCCUCAGCUGGAGAUAAAUAUAUGCAAAUGAGAUGCACAAACAAAGGAGCCUGGACAGAGAAAUAUCUGCAAUUCCAGCAAAAUGCUGCCUGCAGCUCGAAGAUGAACAGCUUUGAUAAAAUGUGAGAAAUAAUCCUCAUAUGUGCUGAUGACUCAAGCACACGAAUCGGCAACAAGCAAGUAGGAUAAAAAAAUAGUUAAAAUGAAUCAACAUUUAUCUGGAAGAUACAGUCCUGACCCAAAAAAAAAAAAAAAAAAAAAAAAAGAGUCAUUUAUCUUCUGUGUCCUGUGAUGUUUUGAAGAUUCUGGCAAAUAUGGCAGUUAAACAAACUUCUCUCACAA